rnacentral:rRNA from 1 species
GGGAAGCAGGCGGCCGCUUCUCACUAGUGGGGAAAGUUUGAUCCCGGCGGAGGCUACUGCUAUUGGGAUUCGAUUAUUCCCUGCAAGUCGAACGAAUUUAGAUUCGUGGCGUACGGCUCAGUAACACGUGGAUAACCUACCCUUAGGACCGGGAUAACCCUGGGAAACUGGGGCUAAUACUGGAUAGAUGAUUUUUCCUGGAAUGGGUUUUUGUUUAAAUGUUUUUUCGCCUAAGGAUGGGUCUGCGGCAGAUUAGGUAGUUGGUUAGGUAAUGGCUUACCAAGCCUAUGAUCUGUACGGGUUGUGAGAGCAAGAGCCCGGAGAUGGAACCUGAGACAAGGUUCCAGGCCCUACGGGGCGCGGCAGGCGCGAAACCUCCGCAAUGUGAGAAAUCGCGACGGGGGGAUCCCAAGUGCCAUUCUUAACGGGAUGGCUUUUCUUAAGUGUAAAAAGCUUUUGGAAUAAGAGCUGGGCAAGACCGGUGCCAGCCGCCGCGAGUACACCGGCAGCUCUAGUGGUAGCUGUUUUUAUUGGGCCUAAAGCGUUCGUAGCCGGUUUGAUAAGUCACUGGUGAAAUCCUGUAGCUUAACUGUGGGAAUUGCUGGUGAUACUGUUGAACUUGAGGUCGGGAGAGGUUAGCGUACUCCCAGGGUAAAGUGAAAUCUGUAAUCUGGAGGACACCUGUGCGAAGCGCUACUGGACGAACUGACGUGAGGAACCAGCUAGGGCGCAACCGAUUAAUACCGGUAGUCUAGCUAACCAUGCGACUGGUGUGGAUGCUUUACCCUCCGUGCAAAGAACUGUAUUCCCCCUGAAAUCGGCCAACUGAACUAA